rnacentral:rRNA from 1 species
GAACGAGUUCUCGUUGAUGAUCGGUGCUUGCACCGAGAUUCAACAUGUAACGAGUGGCGGACGGGUGAGUAACACGUGGGUAACCUGCCCUUAAGUGGGGGAUAACAUUUGGAAACAGAUGCUAAUACCGCAUAGAUCCAAGAACCGCAUGGUUCUUGGCUGAAAGAUGGCGUAAGCUAUCGCUUUUGGAUGGACCCGCGGCGUAUUAGCUAGUUGGUGAGGUAAUGGCUCACCAAGGCGAUGAUACGUAGCCGAACUGAGAGGUUGAUCGGCCACAUUGGGACUGAGACACGGCCCAAACUCCUACGGGAGGCAGCAGUAGGGAAUCUUCCACAAUGGACGCAAGUCUGAUGGAGCAACGCCGCGUGAGUGAAGAAGGCUUUCGGGUCGUAAAACUCUGUUGUUGGAGAAGAAUGGUCGGCAGAGUAACUGUUGUCGGCGUGACGGUGUCCAACCAGAAAGCCACGGCUAACUACGUGCCAGCAGCCGCGGUAAUACGUAGGUGGCAAGCGUUAUCCGGAUUUAUUGGGCGUAAAGCGAGCGCAGGCGGUUUUUUAAGUCUGAUGUGAAAGCCCUCGGCUUAACCGAGGAAGCGCAUCGGAAACUG